UACGAAGGGGGCUAGCGUUGCUCGGAAUCACUGGGCGUAAAGGGUGCGUAGGCGGGUCUUUAAGUCAGGGGUGAAAUCCUGGAGCUCAACUCCAGAACUGCCUUUGAUACUGAGGAUCUUGAGUAUGGGAGAGGUGAGUGGAACUGCGAGUGUAGAGGUGAAAUUCGUAGAUAUUCGCAAGAACACCAGUGGCGAAGGCGGCUCACUGGCUCGGUACUGACGCUGAGGUGCGAAAGCGUGGGGAGCAAACAGG
rnacentral:rRNA from 1 species